CCUACGGGAGGCAGCAGUGGGGAAUAUUGGGCAAUGGAGGCAACUCUGACCCAGCAACGCCGCGUGAAUGAUGAAGGUCUUCGGAUUGUAAAGUUCUUUUCUAAGGGAAGAAGAAAGUGACGGUACCUUAGGAAUAAGCCUCGGCUAACUACGUGCCAGCAGCCGCGGUAAUACGGAGGAGGCAAGCGUUAUCCGGAAUGACUGGGCGUAAGGGGUGCGUAGGUGGUUUGACAAGUUAGUAGCGCAACUCCGGAGUCCAACUUCGGAACUACUACUAAAACUGUUGGACUUGAGUGCAGGAGGGGCAAUCGGAAGUCCGAGUGUAGCGGUGGAAUGCGUAGAUAUUAGGAGGAACACCAGUGGCGAAGGCGGAUUGCUAGACUGUAACUGACACUGAGGCAGGAAAGCGUGGGGAGCAAACAGGAUUAGAUACCCUUGUAGUC
rnacentral:rRNA from 1 species